rnacentral:rRNA from 1 species
UACGUAGGGUGCAAGCGUUGUCCGGAAUUACUGGGCGUAAAGGGCGCGUAGGCGGUCUUGUAAGUCUUGUGUGAAAUCCCCAGGCUUAACCUGGGAACUGCGUCGGAUACUGGAUGGCUUGAAUUCGGGAGAGGGAUGCAGAAUUCCAGGUGUAGCGGUGAAAUGCGUAGAUAUCUGGAGGAAUACCGGUGGCGAAGGCGGCAUCCUGGACCGACAUUGACGCUGAACGGCGAAAGCUAGGGGAGCAAACGGG